rnacentral:lncRNA from 1 species
CUGCCCUCCGCCCUGGCUCGUGAUUGGCCAGCGCAGGCCCUGCUGGCGGCGGGAUUGGCCGCGGCAGCGGGCGGGAGGCGGCGGCGGCGGCGGCGGCGGCGGCGGGAGCGGGCGGGGUGAGUGCGGCCCGGGACCCGGCCUGACUCCGCGGGGCGCCCAUAAAGGUGGCCGGCUGGGGCCUGGGGUACGGGGUAGAGGUGUUGAUAGUCAUGGUGGCUGUUGUUUGUGCUGUGGAGCAGCGGCCUUGCUCCUUCCCUCCGGGACGGGCCUGCGGCCGAGGGCGGGGACCUUAGCCGGAUUGUGGUCAAGAAUGUGGAUGAUUUCUGUAACUCAAGAUACAGUGCAAGUUUGUGAACACAUGCAGGCAUGCAUCUACUCUAACCUUGAACACUGCAUCUGGAAAAACAGGGUUGGUUUUUUUUUCCCCUUUUAUAAAUCCAUGAAUGAGGACAGGUUGCUUAGGAUUUGGUCUAGAUUCUGAGGCUUUGUGUGCUACAGCCUGUAAUUUGCUGUCUCUAGGGAGUGGUGUACAAACAAACACUUUACGUUCUGGUUUUUAAUGUAGGAUGGGCAAGUCUGGACAAAUAUUCAAAAAUAUUUCCAGGGAAAAUUACAUGUAAUCAAACUACGUACAGCUUCAUAGAUAAAUGAGGGGAAAAAAGUGUCAGAUACUUGCUAAUUUUUUUCUGCAAAGGUUCAAUUUCUUUCAUAUGUCUCUGCCAUAGAUAUUGUCUUUUUAAGUGUAAUGAAGAGACUAGUUGCACAGCCAGGAAAUAACAAAGCUUUCAUAUUUUUCUGAAGUUCAUAAUAAGUCUAUAUUAAUGGUUGCAGAGUUUAUCUUCCUUGUCUUUAAUGUUAACUUUUUAAUUUGUUGAGUUUCAAGAACAGAAACUUUUAAAUUCCAUAUCUAUUAAAGAUUAAAAGUGAUAUAGAGGGACCCAAAGAAGUCACUAUACGUCUGAAAUAGUGAAUUUCUAAUUGCAUUUGUACAAGCAACAGCCUUCGGACAUGAACCCUUGUGUUAGAUUAUUAAUACCUGAUAAUACAGUGCUAUUAAAAUCUCUCUUUAUUGGCAGCCUUUUUCCAAUGUUUCUCAAGUUCUUUUUUACUCUUUAUCCCAUAUUUUCUUGGUAAAAGCUGUAAGCUUCAUUAAUAUGAAAAACUGCUGUAAGAAGCAGCAGUGUGUGGGCAAUGCUUUGUACGGCCAUGCCUGAGCACAAUAGCUCUAGCAGUAAAAUAAAGCCUUCUCCCUGGGACUUUUGUUUUAGAAGGUGUGAUUUGAUUACAGUAAAUUCACAAAUACAAGCUGCACUGAGUACAAGCCGCAUCGCCGGAUGUUGGCAAACAUUUUGGUUUUUGUCCAUAAAUAAGCGGCACCCAAGUAUAAGCCACUCUGUCAUUCGCAGCGAGGACCCACGUG